GAACAGGCUUUGUUCCCGCUGUCUGGGAGGGAUAGGAAUGUCCUCCGCACAGCUGGGAGUGCAGCUUGGCUUCAGGUAAGGAAACAGAGGCAUGACGAGGCUAAUUAACUUGCACAGAUUGCACAGCUAACAAGUGAUGGAGCCAGAAAAGGAAGCAGGUGUCUCCAGAGCUUGCACUGAUUCCACAAGCUAUGAAGUGAAGGCAUUUAUUGUCCUGACCCCGUGCAGUUCCUGUCCCAUUAUCCAACCCAGCUCACCAAGUUGCUGCAGCAGCAUGCGAAGUCCGAAGUCCAAGACGCCCCAUACAAGUACCUGGGGAAGGCUCAGUCCCCCAGAUUCUCUGCUCCACUCCAGCUCUGCUCAGGGGUCCUCUCACCACUGACCUCUGUCCAUUCCAC